rnacentral:misc_RNA from 1 species
GAUGAAGAACGCAGCGAAAUGCGAUAAGUAAUGUGAAUUGCAGAAUUCAGUGAAUCAUCGAAUCUUUGAACGCACAUUGCGCCCCCUGGUAUUCCGGGGGGCAUGCCUGUUCGAGCGUCAUUUGUACCUUCAAGCUCUGCUUGGUGUUGGGUGUUUGUCUCGCCUCUGCGUGUAGACUCGCCUCAAAAUAAUUGGCAGCCGGCGUAUUGAUUUCGGAGCGCAGUACAUCUCGCGCUUUGCACUCAUAACGACGACGUCCAAAAGUACAUUUUUACACUCUUGACCUCGGAUCAGGUAGGGAUACCCGCUGAACUUAAGCAUAUCAAUAAGCGGAGGA